CUCGCACCAGGCAGCUACCAGCCGUCCCGGGGAGACCCUUGCAGGAUAAAGAAGAGCAAGGGAAAGUCAUUCCUCUGGUGACUCCCAGGAUGGUGGACUUCAUUGCUGCAGCGGUGGAGGCGAAUAGAAGGGUACGUGACACACACUGCUGCAGUGCCUCUGUCUUACUGAACUGUAGAAAAGCAUCACUGAUUCUCACAGCGUUCCUUACUGCGCGUUCACAUAACACCUUGCUUGAAGAGAAAUGAGUUGGGGUGGCAUUUGAGAAUAAGCAGUUCGCUUCCGUUUGCCUCCCGAAAGCCACCCCAAGAGCUAACUGGGGGAUGCUCCUGAUGGCUUGUGUAGAACUCACAGCUGCCAGACUGCAUUUAGCCCAGUGUUUAUUUAUUUUCCUGGCUCUUACAGAAGGGCUCUUCAGUCGAGUCCGCAGGAGCCUGGCAGCAAACCAGAAAGGUGGAAGACAAAGGGAGAAAUGGAGUGCAGGAAGGGAAACCCCUCAGCCUCCACAGAGACUAACGCUGCCUGCUGUUGCAUACAGAUUGCCGCCGAGAAAAAAUGCGCAAAGACCAGGAAGGGAAAGGAGCAGAAGGGGAAGACGGUGAGGAAGGAGAAGGAGGAGAAGGGGAAGACGGUGAGGAAGGAGAAGGAGGAGAAAGGGAAGAAGGUGAAGGAGAAGGAGGACA
rnacentral:lncRNA from 1 species